rnacentral:tRNA from 1 species
GAGGGCAUAGUUCAAGUGGUAGAGCACAUGCUUAGGAUACACAAGGUCCUGGGUUCAAUCCCCAGUACCUUCU